GAUGAACGCUAGCGGCAGGCCUAACACAUGCAAGUCGAGGGGCAGCACGGGUAGCAAUACUUGGUGGCGACCGGCGCACGGGUGAGUAACGCGUAUGCAACCUACCCAUAACAGUGGGAUAGCCCGGAGAAAUUCGGAUUAAUACCGCAUAACAUUAACGGAUCGCAUGGUUUGUUAAUAAAACUUAGGUGGUUAUGGAUGGGCAUGCGUGACAUUAGCUAGUUGGUGGGGUAACGGCCCACCAAGGCAACGAUGUCUAGGGGGCCUGAGAGGGUAGUCCCCCACACUGGUACUGAGACACGGACCAGACUCCUACGGGAGGCAG
rnacentral:rRNA from 1 species